UCGUAGGUGACCUGCGGAAGGAUCAUUACCGAGUGAGGGCCCUCUGGGUCCAACCUCCCACCCGUGUCUAUCGUACCUUGUUGCUUCGGCGGGCCCGCCGUUUCGACGGCCGCCGGGGAGGCCUUGCGCCCCCGGGCCCGCGCCCGCCGAAGACCCCAACAUGAACGCUGUUCUGAAAGUAUGCAGUCUGAGUUGAUUAUCGUAAUCAGUUAAAACUUUCAACAACGGAUCUCUUGGUUCCGGCAUCGAUGAAGAACGCAGCGAAAUGCGAUAAGUAAUGUGAAUUGCAGAAUUCAGUGAAUCAUCGAGUCUUUGAACGCACAUUGCGCCCCCUGGUAUUCCGGGGGGCAUGCCUGUCCGAGCGUCAUUGCUGCCCUCAAGCACGGCUUGUGUGUUGGGCCCCCGUCCCCCUCUCCCGGGGGACGGGCCCGAAAGGCAGCGGCGGCACCGCGUCCGGUCCUCGAGCGUAUGGGGCUUUGUCACCUGCUCUGUAGGCCCGGCCGGCGCCAGCCGACACCCAACUUUAUUUUUCUAAGGUUGACCUCGGAUCAGGUAGGGAUACCCGCUGAACUUAAGCAUAUCAAUAAGCGGAGGAAAAGAAACCAACAGGGAUUGCCUCAGUAACGGCGAGUGAAGCGGCAAGAGCUCAAAUUUGAAAGCUGGCCCCUUCGGGGUCCGCGUUGUAAUUUGCAGAGGAUGCUUCGGGUGCAGCCCCCGUCUAAGUGCCCUGGAACGGGCCGUCAUAGAGGGUGAGAAUCCCGUCUGGGACGGGGUGUCUGCGUCCGUGUGAAGCUCCUUCGACGAGUCGAGUUGUUUGGGAAUGCAGCUCUAAAUGGGUGGUAAAUUUCAUCUAAAGCUAAAUACUGGCCGGAGACCGAUAGCGCACAAGUAGAGUGAUCGAAAGAUGAAAAGCACUUUGAAAAGAGAGUUAAACAGCACGUGAAAUUGUUGAAAGGGAAGCGUUUGCGACCAGACUCGCCCGCGGGGUUCAGCCGGCAUUCGUGCCGGUGUACUUCCCCGUGGGCGGGCCAGCGUCGGUUUGGGCGGCCGGUCAAAGGCCCUCGGAAUGUAUCACCUCUCGGGGUGUCUUAUAGCCGAGGGUGCAAUGCGGCCUGCCUGGACCGAGGAACGCGCUUCGGCUCGA
rnacentral:rRNA from 1 species